CAUAGCUCCCGAAUCGCCAGCCCACGGGCGCGGCAAACUGCUCCCAUGGCAACGAGGCAGGAGUGACCUUCAAUCCAGCGUUUGUGUUUGGGAAACUUAUUUGGCUGAUUUGAUUGUUUCCUCGCAGCUGGUGUUCACGCGCUCAAGAGAUGGGUUCGUUAUCUUAUGUGCAUGUACACUGCCUGGCGUUUCUAUGCGCAGGAAUGUAACCACUAAGAAGAGUUGUAAACAAAGUAAGGAGAGAAAUAAAAACCCCAGGAAAAGUUUUCCUGGAGGCUUUUCCAGCUUGAAGCUUUAAGGCUUUCUGGCUACCACAGACCUGGCGUUCUGUUUCCUUUCCUCCGUCGUCACCACACCUGGUGACCCCGACGUGAUGCCCCUCUACUCACCGGCUGGAUACGCCGAGCGCGCCCGCGGCUGUUUGCCGCCCCUUAUUCGUCCAGGUAUGGGAUAUUUUCCCUACAGACAAAGCAUAAAGAAUCUGCCUUUCAUGGAGUGUCACUUCCUGAGAUGGACAUGUUUCUUAGGACCACUGAGUUUACAUCGCCCUAGGGGGCUUUUUUGUCUCUAGACAAGUUGAAGAAUAAAAGCUUCAGCCAGGAUUAGCAUCAUAAAGAAGCUGCAACCUCCAGCUGAGAGGUAGAAAAUAAUUGUGUUGCAUAAAGAUAAAAAGACACUGAAAAAAAAAUGCACCUUUUGGAAACCAGGAAGAAUCUUCUGCCUGCCUGGCUUAAUUUUGCAAUCCAGCACUCUAAGUUUAAAACAUAAACCUGUCUACUGCUUCAUCCAUAGACAAUGCACCAAUCUAUCUUGAUUUUCUAGGGGAUCAUACCCCAAGCUCCUUCUAGAAUGUCAUAUUUUCCACAUGCCUUAGACGGAUUGCUUUCAUGGUGAUCUGAUAUGCAAAAUGUGAAACAUUUCUGAGCUUUGUUUUGAAGUCCUGAGCUAAACCCCAAUUAUGUUAUAAUAUAUUGUUGCAAAAGAGGCAUUAACACAGACUAUAAUGUACAGGUAACUGGAUCCACAAUGAAAGUGGAAGGGAGAAUUAUAAGAGACAGCAGGAAUGAGUGUAUGGCAUGUUAAAACAUUCACAUGCUGAACUGUGUAUACUUUCCAAUUCAUCCAUGAACAAAUUAGAAUGAGUGUCUACAUUUAAGGAAUGAGGAUGGAGGUUUUUUUUCCUUCAGAAACAGCCAAGAGUUGGUGGUGAACCUUACUUCUUAUCUUAGCGUAAGAACAAUGAUUAAAAUAGUAUCUAUGUCUCGUUCUGCUGGGUAAUAGCAGCAUUUUAAGAUGUAUGUGCUGUUUUGUUUGGACUUCUAGGGAUGGGCGACAGGUUCUGAUACAAUAAGAACUGAUUCAAGUUUACCCCAAAUGUGAAUUAGGUUGUUUUUGAGGUUUGAAAAAUGUCAUGUAACGUUUUCACUUUCACCAACCUCUGCACUGCUGGUGUACUGUUUGACUGGAGUCUGAAACAUAAGUGCUGAUGCACUGGAAGAAAGGGGGCUUUGUGGUGGUUUUGGACCAAUAUUUCAAACUGAAAAAGGUGGGGUAGUUUGAACAAGCUCCGAUUAAGCAUUCAAAAGUCUGAACAUGAGCAAGGAUUCCUCAUUACUGCGUAGUGCAUUUUGGGAUACAAAGUAAAUGGUCUUUUUUUUAAAAAGGUCCCUUCCAACCCUGAUAUUCUAUGAUUCUCCUGAAGGGGGAGGAGUUGGCAGGCGUUAGCUGAAACCUGAUUAUUCUUGAGGAAGGCCCCCCAUAGGUCCAUGUAGGUGCCAUCCAUUCAGCUUCUGCCUCUGCUUGCUGGCUCCUUUACCACCUGGCAGCAUGUAGCACCUGCAAAAGCCAUUUUUCCAUUGACUGGGCCCCCUGUGGCUGCUCAGUAGCCAGAGAGGACAUUUGUGGAUAAUACAGCUCUUAGAAUUUACCUGAAAACACAAGCAAGAUAAGCAAGGAGAGUACAAUGGACUGUGGCCAGGCCCAUGCUCCUGCUGCUUGCUCCACAACUAAAAGUCAUCAGAGUCCCUUGCAGAGUCAAGACAGGAGUCUCCCACACUCCUGUGCAGAGGAGGUGGUCAUGUCCUGAACUGAGAAAGAACUUUUUAUUAUAAUCCAGAUUCCUACUCUCCUGUGAGAGUUCAGUUCUGUAGAGACAGUGGUUACUCUGCAUGAGGCCAAACAUUAUCUGUCAGUCUUCAAGGAAGCAUGCAAGUCAGAACUGAAAUCCAUUCUGUUUCCCACUGCAGAAAAUGCACACGCAGCCUUGAGUUUCAUUUGUUUACAUUCAUUGGCUAUUAGAUCAUUAGAAUGUAUGUGCAGAGGCUGAGCUGUUUUCCGCAGAUAUUCAGAAAAGAAAGAAGCCAAACGGACAUUUUCCAAGAGGCAACAAAGGAUGUGAACGUUAAAAGAUCUGAAAUGUUUUUUUUUUAAUUAUAUCAAAUGGUUAUGGUGGAAAUGCCAAUAACACCAUCAUCCCUACCACUGCAACCCUAAUUCUGAGCUCACAUACAUGGGUUGGACACCAGCAUAACUCCUCUCACUGCAGUGGAGUAACUCCUGACAUGCACAGAGCAGAAGCAGGACCUGACUGACUAGUGUAAAGAUUACAACAUAAGAACAUAAGAACGGCCAUACUAGGUCCUUGAUCCUCCAAACUGGGCAGUGAUUUAAGUCUGAUACUUUAACCUCUACAAAGAUCACCAAAAAAGCAAGCUGAAUACUCAUUCCCCACCCUCCCUUCUUAGUGGUAGAGGUGUUGAAAAUGGGCACUCCAGCAAGAUAAACCAGGGCCAUGCAAAAACUCUCCGCUGUGAGUUCAUGUGCUUUGGAUGAACUUUUACUAGCAGUUUCACUUCCCCUGUGUUCCUAGCCCCAAGAUGCACUGGAUGGAAAUGUCGGGUUUAUAUGAACGCUGGGAAUACAUGCUAGUUUGAUCAUGAAACCAGCAGCUUUGCCACAGCCCCGAGAUACCCCCCCACAACACACAUCCUUCACUUCUCACACAGUGAUAUUUUCAGCUGGCAGCCAGCUUCAUGCUUCUCUGCUCCCAGGAUCUUCAGAGCACCAGCCUGUCCCCAGGCUGCCUGUCUGUCCCCAGUUCAGAACUUGUACCAGGAAAUGCUGCUCUAGUCUCAGAGCAAUUUUAAAAUCCAAAGCACCUACAGCAUGGACCAUGGCACAGAGGCACACAGCUAGAUAUCCAGCAAAGGUUUUCUUUUCAUUCCAAAGGGGAGCUAACGUGUCUUAAGUGUAGCAGUGCCACUCACUACUAGGCACGCAGCAAAAAUGAAGAGGCGGUCAAGCUCCCUGUGCCUGACGCGAGCCUGGCACCAAUCAUUGCAUGCAUAUACUGUUUCCCAGGAAGACAGCUGAGUGCUGCAGUGGAAUGAUGGCAAGGGCAGCAGUGGCCAGGCAGUUCUUAAUUUAAAAAAAAAAUUAAAUAAAAGGGAUAAGAACAUCCCUCAAGGCUAAAAACUCUUCACUUGCCCAAGAAGACAGAGAUUUGAAAGGGGAGAAGUAGCACAAGGAGCUUAUGGAGUUAAAUAAACAGGAAGGCUUAUGCUGUAACCAUGGAGAGAUUGAUGGGGAAACAGCAGGAGCCUGAGUUAAAUAGGCAGUUUUUGUAGGCUUGGACUGGAAGUGAUUUUUGUUUAAAGGCAGGCUGACAAAUCAUAGCCAGUGUAUCUGUGUUGCCAGGGAAAAGGUGCACAAUGUUUGCUAAUGGUAAAACUGCUGUGCCUUGGAAUGAAAGUGACCACUUUUAUCAGAGGCCAGUGGUAACAGAAAGAAGUUAAAGGGACACUUUUAAGGCUGGUAGGCCUAAUAUUAGACCUACUAGGUUUAUGGUGUCUCACCAUCCUUCUGCUUCUUAUGAACAAGCAAUAUUUUUUCCUAUUUCAGAAAUGUGACAAUUCAUCUGAAUGGAUGAACUAAACAGGCAGGGGCUGCAUCUGCUUUCAUUGACAUAAGUGUAAAUCAGAAAUAACUAUGAAGUGAACAGAUUUACCUAAUGUAAACCCAGACUCAGACUCACAGAGUAUAGGCUCAGAAUGGAUACACACACUCCUCAGCCAACCUGCUACAGUGCUAGAUCAUACAGCAGAACAUUAUGGCAUUUAGCAAUGGUGCAGUCCUGAUUUUUCAUUUAUUUAUGAUCCAAGAAGACCAUUUGUAAUGGUUUCUGGAAUAGUGGCAUGAUGCCAGGUCUCCAGCAAAGACGUGCCUUUCAUUUCAAAAAGCAUGACUCACAACAUAUCCUAUGUAAGAGGCAAUAGCUCUGGAAUGCUCACAUACUGUACUCUGUGGUGGCUACAUGAGACAAUCAUUGAAUCUGAUAGAAAACUCUUCUGUAGCUAAAUGUUUUGUAUUCGAUUAGAGAUAACCCAAACUGUGAAGUUAAGAUCUAGAUUCAGAUCAGAAUUUGAAACUUCUCAAACUGCUAAUGGGUUCAUUCUUCUGGAUCAGAUCCAUUACAGAGAUGGGUCCAAACUUCAUGGACUGGAUUUGAAUCCGGAUUUCCCAGGGUCUGGGGUUCUGGUUUGAGUGUCGCUGUACAUUGCAUGUUACAUUUAUAAUAAGACGAAUUCAAGGGUUUAUAGAGUAAACCCUGAUAAGAAACCUCAGUGUCACAAAAUUAUCGAAGAUUGAAAUCAAAAUCAAUUUAGGUGUGACAGUCCCAGAUCACUUUAUAUUAUGAAAAGUGGAUAUAAAUUUAGGGAUUGACCCUGGCAUCCUUACUCUCAUGAGUAACCCCCUUGAAGUCAAUGAGAAUUCUUCUUGAAUAAAUGCGGAACUUUCAACCUCAA